rnacentral:rRNA from 1 species
UCGAGAAUCUUCGGCAAUGGGCGCAAGCCUGACCGAGCGACGCCGCGUGCGGGAUGAAGGCCUUCGGGUUGUAAACCGCUGUCAGGGGGGAUGAAAUGCAUCGGGGUUCUCCCCGGUGUUUGACAUAGCCCCAGAGGAAGCGCGGGCUAAGUUCGUGCCAGCAGCCGCGGUAAUACGAACUGCGCAAACGUUAUUCGGAAUCACUGGGCUUACAGGGUGCGUAGGUGGCGGGGAAAGUAGGGUGUGAAAUGCCUUGGCUCAACCAAGGCACAGCGCUCUAAACUACCUCGCUCGAGUGAGUCAGGGGUACGCGGAACUUCCGGUGGAGCGGUGAAAUGUGUUGAUAUCGGAAGGAACACCGGUGGCGAAAGCGGCGUACUGGGGCUCAACUGACACUGAGGCACGAAAGCCAGGGGAGCGAACGG